rfam:Candidatus Lloydbacteria bacterium RIFCSPHIGHO2_02_FTLL_50_13 rifcsphigho2_02_scaffold_5145, whole genome shotgun sequence.
AUGUCCCUCUGAUGCCCUGGGCCACACACAUAAUACAAUGGGCAUUACAACGGGCAGCGACACAGCAAUGUUGAGCUAAUCCUUAAAAAGUGCCCUCAGUUCGGAUUGGGGUCUGCAACUCGACCCCAUGAAGCUGGAAUCGCUAGUAAUCGUGGGUCAGCUAAACCACGGUGAAUACGUUCUCAAGUCUUGUACUCGGGUCGCCAUGCGAUCGAGUGUGCUAGUUGGUGAAAAUCCAAU